rnacentral:rRNA from 1 species
CCUACGGGAGACAGCAGUGGGGGAUAUUGCACAAUGGGGGAAACCCUGAUGCAGCGACGCCGCGUGUGGGAAGACGGUCCUCUGGAUUGUAAACCACUGUCCCCAGGGACGAAGAUGACGGUACCUGGGGAGGAAGCUCCGGCUAACUACGUGCCAGCAGCCGCGGUAAUACGUAGGGAGCGAGCGUUGUCCGGAAUUACUGGGUGUAAAGGGAGCGUAGGCGGGACUGCAAGUUGGGUGUCAAAUCUACCGGCUCAACCGGUAGCCGCACUCAAAACUGCAGUUCUUGAGUGAAGUAGAGGCAGGCGGAAUGCCUAGUGUAGCGGUGAAAUGCGUAGAUAUUAGGAGGAACACCAGUGGCGAAGGCGGCCUGCUGGGCUUUUACUGACGCUGAGGCUCGAAAGUGUGGGUAGCAAACAGGAUUAGAUACCCCUGUAGUC